rnacentral:lncRNA from 1 species
AUCUCCUCUGUUUGCGCCCUUUGAGGUCGCUCCCGGGCCCGCUGCGUCCGCGCCCUCACCUCUUCCCUCAGUGGCCUCUCUCCCAAGCACGGACCUCCUUGCUCGAAUGGCCUCCGCCAUAAAAAUCGGCCUUGAUUCAGGGCGGGGCGGCUUAACCUUCUUCGGUUGGGUGGCCACGGUCUUGCCGGAGAUAAUUCGACGCCUCCUCGCCUCUAAAGUCUCCUCCUCUUCGCGGUCCCCUUCCGCGGAAUGCGAAGCAGGCUCAGAAGAGGUCGGUACAGCGAUAGACGUCCCUACGGGGGAAAUUUCAGGAACAGCCGCUGGCGCCUCCACGGGCGUUGCCUCUGGUACGACCUCCGUCACGGCCUCAGAUGCUAUCUCUAGGGCCGCUUCUGAUGUAUCCUCCCGUCUUAAAGGAGGCGAAGCACUGCCCCUGGAAGUGCCGACGAAGAUCAGAUCCGCCUCAGGAUCAGAUGCCGUCGUAGAAGGACCGGCCGCAGUCUUCUUCUUCUUCUGCUGCUUCUUCCUCCCCGCCUUCUUAGAGGCGCCCCGACCUACCAAAACACAUGAGAAACGAUUAAGGAAAUUAUAUGGACCCCCAAACCACAACAAAGAUUAAGUAAAGCCAUUACCAGUCGGGCCGUGGAGCCUAAGAAAUUCAGUCCAAGAACGGCUCUCCUCUGCAAAUGGUAUCAGCGCCUGCACCCACGACCUAAUGUAGUCAACACUACGA